rnacentral:rRNA from 1 species
UACGUAGGGCGCAAGCGUUGUCCGGAAUUAUUGGGCGUAAAGAGCUCGUAGGCGGCCAGUUGCGUCUGCUGUGAAAUCCCGGGGCUCAACCCCGGGCGUGCAGUGGAUACGGGCUGGCUAGAGGCAGGCAGGGGAGAACGGGAAUUCCCGGUGUAGCGGUGAAAUGCGCAGAUAUCGGGAGGAACACCGGUGGCGAAGGCGGUUCUCUGGGCCUGUACUGACGCUGAGGAGCGAAAGCGUGGGGAGCGAACAGGAUUAGAUACCCGUUGUAAGU